rnacentral:rRNA from 1 species
GGCGGACGGGCGAGUAAUGUCUGGGAAACUGCCUGAUGGAGGGGGAGUAACUACUGGAAACGGUAGCUAAUACCGCAUAACGUCGCAAGACCAAAGAGGGGGACCUUCGGGCCUCUUGCCAUCGGAUGUGCCCAGAUGGGAUUAGCUAGUAGGUGGGGUAACGGCUCACCUAGGCGACGAUCCCUAGCUGGUCUGAGAGGAUGACCAGCCACACUGGAACUGAGACACGGUCCAGACUCCUACGGGAGGCAGCAUG